rnacentral:rRNA from 1 species
UACGUAGGGUGCAAGCGUUGUCCGGAAUUAUUGGGCGUAAAGAGCUCGUAGGCGGUUUGUCGCGUCUGCUGUGAAAACCCGAGGCUCAACCUCGGGCCUGCAGUGGGUACGGGUAGACUAGAGUGCGGUAGGGGGAGAUUGGAAUUCCAGGUGUAGCGGUGAAAUGCGUAGAUAUCUGGAGGAACACCGGUGGCGAAGGCGGCAUCCUGGACCGGCAUUGGACGCUGAGGCGCGAAAGCCAGGGGAGCAAAGCGGG